rnacentral:rRNA from 1 species
GUUAGCGGCGGACGGGUGAGUAACACGUGGGUAACCUGCCUGUAAGACUGGGAUAACUCCGGGAAACCGGAGCUAAUACCGGAUAGUUCCUUGAACCGCAUGGUUCAAGGAUGAAAGACGGUUUCGGCUGUCACUUACAGAUGGACCCGCGGCGCAUUAGCUAGUUGGUGAGGUAACGGCUCACCAAGGCGACGAUGCGUAGCCGACCUGAGAGGGUGAUCGGCCACACUGGGACUGAGACACGGCCCAGACUCCUACGGGAGGCAGCAGUAGGGAAUCUUCCGCAAUGGACGAAAGUCUGACGGAGCAACGCCGCGUGAGUGAUGAAGGUUUUCGGAUCGUAAAGCUCUGUUGUUAGGGAAGAACAAGUGCAAGAGUAACUGCUUGCACCUUGACGGUACCUAACCAGAAAGCCACGGCUAACUACGUGCCAGCAGCCGCGGUAAUACGUAGGUGGCAAGCGUUGUCCGGAAUUAUUGGGCGUAAAGGGCUCGCAGGCGGUUUCUUAAGUCUGAUGUGAAAGCCCCCGGCUCAACCGGGGAGGGUCAUUGGAAACUGGGAAACUUGAGUGCAGAAGAGGAGAGUGGAAUUCCACGUGUAGCGGUGAAAUGCGUAGAGAUGUGGAGGAACACCAGUGGCGAAGGCGACUCUCUGGUCUGUAACUGACGCUGAGGAGCGAAAGCGUGGGGAGCGAACAGGAUUAGAUACCCUGGUAGUCCACGCCGUAAACGAUGAGUGCUAAGUGUUAGGGGGUUUCCGCCCCUUAGUGCUGCAGCUAACGCAUUAAGCACUCCGCCUGGGGAGUACGGUCGCAAGACUGAAACUCAAAGGAAUUGACGGGGGCCCGCACAAGCGGUGGAGCAUGUGGUUUAAUUCGAAGCAACGCGAAGAACCUUACCAGGUCUUGACAUCCUCUGACAACCCUAGAGAUAGGGCUUUCCCUUCGGGGACAGAGUGACAGGUGGUGCAUGGUUGUCGUCAGCUCGUGUCGUGAGAUGUUGGGUUAAGUCCCGCAACGAGCGCAACCCUUGAUCUUAGUUGCCAGCAUUCAGUUGGGCACUCUAAGGUGACUGCCGGUGACAAACCGGAGGAAGGUGGGGAUGACGUCAAAUCAUCAUGCCCCUUAUGACCUGGGCUACACACGUGCUACAAUGGACAGAACAAAGGGCUGCGAGACCGCAAGGUUUAGCCAAUCCCACAAAUCUGUUCUCAGUUCGGAUCGCAGUCUGCAACUCGACUGCGUGAAGCUGGAAUCG